GGCAGGGUGGCUCAGCUGGUUAGAGCGAGCGACUCAUAAUCGCUAGGUCGGGGGUUCGAGUCCCCCCCCUGCUACCA
rnacentral:tRNA from 1 species